UGGGGAAUUUUGGACAAUGGGCGAAAGCCUGAUCCAGCAAUGCCGCGUGCAGGAUGAAGGCCUUCGGGUUGUAAACUGCUUUUGUACGGAACGAAAAAGCUUCUCCUGAUACGAGAGGCCCAUGACGGUACCGUAAGAAUAAGCACCGGCUAACUACGUGCCAGCAGCCGCGGUAAUACGUAGGGUGCGAGCGUUAAUCGGAAUUACUGGGCGUAAAGCGUGCGCAGGCGGUUAUGUAAGACAGAUGUGAAAUCCCCGGGCUCAACCUGGGAACUGCAUUUGUGACUGCAUGGCUAGAGUACGGUAGAGGGGGAUGGAAUUCAGCGUGUAGCAGUGAAAUGCGUAGAUAUGCGGAGGAACACCGAUGGCGAAGGCAAUCCCCUGGACCUGUACUGACGCUCAUGCACGAAAGCGUGGGGAGCAAACA
rnacentral:rRNA from 1 species